CGGCCAUGGCACGGGAGCAGCGACCACUUGCCAGCCCGACGCCGAGGAUGAGGUCUGCACACGCUGGGAUGGCCGGAUCCAGGGCAAGGGACUCCAUUCCCAGCGGAUCUGGCGCGUUCCGGAGGAGCUUGCCUCCAUGGUGCUGCGGACCUGCAGGGAAGAGAGGGGAGAGAGGUGAACGAGGGGAGAGAGAGUCAGAGGGAAAGCAGGGGGAGAAAGAUGAUGAGGAGGGAGGAAGAAGGAGCAGGGAAUGGGGCGACCUGGAUCGGUGGUGGAGCUGCAGCUCGGACGCAGAGGAGCGCCGCUCGGGGCAGAGCUAUUGGUCAAGGCGACCAUGGUUCUUCUCUGCGUUGCGCUCGGGCCGUCCUGCCGCUACAGCACGGGCACCAGCAGAGGAGGUCGCGGCUCCGACGUCCUGGUGCUGUUCCUGGAGGCGCGGCGAUGGCCUGGAGGACGACCUCCUGCUCGAGCAGAAACACACAGGGAGACGCGGGGCGGGAGAGAUGAGGGAUCUGGCGCCUGGUUGGUGGGAGGAGCAAAACAAGGAAGGUGGCGGCGGCGACGGGACACAUCUCCUAGAUUGUUUUCCAAAAUAGACUAGGGAACGUCUAUAUAUAGUAGGUUAGCUAGGAUUAGGGGUUUUUGACCCUCCGAUUAAAUCGGACGGUCAUAAAUAACUAGGUUAGCGAGUCCAAUGGACAAACCGAUCACGAUUUGCGGUAUAACGGGGUUGAUCCGGACCCAACGGUUACGACCACCGGGUUCGGGUUUCGGGAGGUUUGGGACUAGGUUGCGGGCAGGUCGGUGCACUGUGGAGAGGGGCUAGGCGGAGAUGAGAGGGGAAAAAAAUAGGCAACCCGGCGACUUAGUUGUUUUUUUAAAACACCGAAAACACGUCCGACGAUAGACCGAAUACGGUGCUGCUACGGUCGACCGUUCGGGUACCAGACGGACUCCGAUGGCGACGAAAUUUGACAAGCGGCCUAACUACGUCCAGAUAAGACCGCGCGUCAAAUCUCAACCCGAUCAGAGGAAGUUUUCAACACACUUUUAAAAACAAGGUUUGACGAUGCCGCGGGUGCGUGCGAGUGCGGUCGGGCUCAGAACGGACAACGACGAGAACCGGCAACUAAUAACGGAUGCAAGUUUUGAAAACUAGCGGCAACGGAGUGCCGAUGCAAAGUUUAUGAUGCGCAUGAUGCGAUGAUGAUGCGGCAAAUAAAAAUAGACACACGACAGAAACCGAAAGAAAAGGGGAAUCUUCUGGAACGUCGGCAUCGGGCUGUCACAACUCUCCUACACUACAAGAGGAUCUCGCCCCGAGAUCCAAGAAUGAAAGGGGGAGAUGAUGAGAAAGAACAAGAGGUAAAACUUAGUCGCUUCUUUGAAAAACGAGUGAAACCAAUGAUCCUUGAAAGUUGCAAGGUGAUGAGGAAUGAUAUGGGAAAGAAGCAAGAAUUCACGGAAAAUUUCGGCAGCACUUCGGUAGGAAAAUGGGACAAAAAAUUCGAUAAGAUGGAAGAAUUAGACAAUAUGGACAACAAACAACUAGGUAGAGCAAGGGAACACCAUGAUCUUGGUAGAACAACAAGAUUGACCCAAAAGAGCAACAUCACAAUGCCCCCGGAACAAGAGAAUAUGAACUAGCUCAUACGGAAGAAGAGAAUGAAGAAAAGAAUGACAACUACUAACUCCAAUGAACUUGGCAAGCAUCCUUGCAAGAAUAAUUGGACGGGGUUGAUGGAAAAAACAACAACGAAAAUAACAAGAUAGUAGUGGGCUUAUGAAAAUCGUCUCAACAAAUAUGAGGUGACAAACAACCACUAAAAGAAACAAGGAUUGAUUGGGAGAAACAAGAUAUGAACAAUUCUUACACCAAGAGGGUACAUUGAGAACUUGGAUUAAUGACAAGCACCAUGAUAGCAACAUUCCAUAGGAAAAGAUUUAGGUGAAAUCCAAACCAAGAUAGCUCAAUGAAGAAAUCAUGGGUUGAAAUAUCUCAUGAACAUAGAAUUGAUGGAUUUAUUUAUCUCAUUCUUGAAAGGAAAUCUCUUCGAGGCUCCUACACUAACAAGAAUACUAUAAUACCACCUCAAAGGAUAAAGGAAGAACAAACACAUUGGAAAUGCAAGAGAAAGAAUGCUUGAGGUACUCCAACAAGAAUCUUGAAGAACACUUAGAGAAAGAAUGAAAUCUUGAUGAACAACCAUGAAGGACCUCCGUAUACGAAUGAAUGAUGCAAAGAUAUCAAGGUAGAAAAGAAUAAGAUUAUGACCUUGCCAGGAUUUAGAAGAAGCCUCACAAAGAGAUACUUAAAAGAACUUGGAACUCCGGAAAAAUAAAGAUAAGCACACGAGAAAAGAAUUGAAACCAUGAGCCAUUCCGGAAGAAGAAUUCAGAUUACUAUGAACAAGAAUAAGAAUUAAGUUAUGCUUAUCCUUCAUCAAAUUUAAUUGAUGACAAGCAACGGAUUAAGCAUGCAACUUAUUCUUCUGAAAAGAUUGAGGAGAGAUAUGAGCACAAACUAGAAGAAUUGUUGCAAGACACACCGGUGAGAAUUGAAAUGAACGAGGCAACCAUGAAUGAAUGGAGAUACAUGAGAAUGAAGAUAUCAUGAUCCACCUGGAUAAAAAACUUAAACAAGACACCGGAUAAUCGAGAGACGAACGAAGAGACAACAAUGGAGAAGAAUUAGAGAACGAAAGCUGCAAGCUGAGAACGAAGAAGUCUUCUGAAAUGAUGGCCUUCGGAGGAACGAGAAUGAAAAACAAAUCAGAAAAGCACCGGAUAGCCAGAAAGGGAUUGCUCAUGACUGACAACAAUUAAGAAGAUGGCACCAAGCUGAAAUGAUGAAUCUCCAAGAGAAUGAACCAAGAUUGAGAAUGAUGAAGAGAAAGAGCACCAAGGAUAAAGAGACACUCCGGAAUAAAGAAGAAUGGAAUGUUGAGCCAAAUAUGAGAAUUAAUUCGAAUAGAUCUUGGAUAAGGGAUAUGACUAAUGAAAUUCAUACUUACAUCAUAGUUUAAAAAAAAUUAGAGGUCUCUGGAAAAUAUUAAAAGAGGCAGGUAAAAUCCUGGGAAAAACCUAUGGGUUAUGGGCCCACUCAAAGAAACCACCGUUGAAAGGAUUGCUAGAAAGAGAGAUAUUGCAGCGGUAGAAAUGAAAACUUGAUGAGGUUGAGCACCUCAAAAUAAUUAAAAGAAUUGAAAACGAGAAACUACUGAAAUAUCUUUAACACUCCGGAUAGAAAAGGAGAGGAAUUAAUAAACAAGAUAGGCUGAAAGAAUUUCCAACGUCGGAAAGAAUUUAAUGGUUGAAAAGGACAUGAUGACCACAGGCGACUGAAUUAAAUUCACAGGUGAGGAUGACAAGAAUGAACAAAUAUGACACGAAUCUCCUGAGAAUCUUCACAAUGAAACACCAGAUAGGACACGGAAGAAAAGAUAGCGGGAGCAACAAUGAAAUGAAAAUGCUUGGAUGAAAAUUGAAUCACUGAGAAAAAAGGGCGGGAGGGCGGGGAAAAAAACAAAGACAACUUGGGACAGAUGAGAUGAACUCCGUAUGGAAUAAUAGAAUGCUCUUGACAAAUUGGAGAUGAUUGAAUCCACUUGGAGAGAAACACACCAGUUGAAUGGAAUUGAUACGAUGACUCCGGUUGAAAAGAAAUUGACAUGACAAUUUGAAUGAACAAAAGAAUUUGCAUUCUCACAUGAAAACUAUGAGAACACCUCUUAGGAAAGAUCUGAAAUCACCACUUGACAUCGAAGCAACUUGAAUUACCAUAUUCAACAAAACAAAGGGUGAGGAUUUGUUGGAAGAUUGUCCUAUAAGGAACUACUUGAAUUCCCACCUAUGAAUUCCCGAAAUUUCUGGUCAUGCAAUCUGGUACACGGAUACAAGGAGUAAUAAUCACACAACUCCUAUACUAACCCGUCACCUGUAUCACAUCCGUCAACACACAACCAGAAUCUCGGACCUUCAUCUACAACAGACCCUCGUGAUCACAACGAUACAAAGUAUGGCAGUACUCCCGAACAAUCUGCACCAGUACUGGGGACAUCGGGGUUAUCUCGCCAUUACUAGUAUUGAAGCAAUUACGAACAUCCUUCGUCCUGAGAUAUUAAGAAAUCUGAAUGAUAACGAUGUGCUCAAGAAUCUCCUGGAGCUCAACUCCCCUGAAACUUAAAGCAGAUAGGAGGCACCAAGACAGAACUCCGUCACAUCGGCAUCAUCUAGAUUCCAAAAAUAGCCGCCUGAUCCUAAAAAAUUUUGAGUGGGAAGAGGAGUAGAGUAAAUUAUUACGUCAAGAUUCCUCACCAGAGCAUAGAAGAGGAGAAAAAAGAAUCCUACUCUCCGAUAUAUAACUAGACUCAAAGCAGUUUUUCACUAGACUCGACUCGUCCAAGUUCGAUCAAUCAAGGGGGCUCCUAGGUCGGUACUGCUCUGAUACCAACUUGUCACGCCCAAGAUGUGACCCUAUCCUCAAUUUGGCAUGAAGGCAUCAUCAGGGAUAGAAGCGCAUCUCGUCGUGUCGCAAGAAUGGAUAUCGUUACAAGUACAUGUACUGAAAAGAAGAGAUAAAUACAGAGUUGGCUUACACUCGCCACAAGCUACAUCAGAGUCACAUCAGUACAUUACAUAUUCACCAAGAGUAAGAGCAGGGUCCGACUACGGACGAAGACAAACGAAAAAUAAGAACGACGUCCAUCCUUGCUAUCCAGGCUGCCGGCCUGGAACCCAUCCUAGAUCGAUGAAGAAGAAGAAGAAGAAUCAGCUCCAAAUGUACAAUCAAUGUGCUCAGGUCAAGUAACCUUUACCUGUACCUGCAACUGGUGUUGUAGUAAUCUGUGAGCCACAGGGGACUCAGCAAUCUCAUUUCCAAAGGUAUCAAGACUAGCAAAGCUUAAUGGGUGAGGUAUGGUUAAGUGGUGAGGUUGCCGCAGCGGCUAAGCAUAUAUUUGGUGGCUAAACUUACGAGUACAAGAAUAAGAGGGGGAAGAUCUACGCAUAUCGGUCGUGGCUACUGAUGAUCAAAUGAAUGAUCCUGAACACCUACCUACGUCAGACAUAACCCCACCGGGUCCUUGAUCGAAGAAGGAACUCACGAAAGAGACAGUCACGGUUACGCACACGGUUGGCAUAUUUUAAUUAAGUUAACUUCAAGUUAUCUAGAACCAGUGUUAAACAAAGUUUCCAUGUUGCCACAUAACCGCGUGCACAGCUUUCCAAAAAUAUUUAACCCUGCAGGGGUGCUCCAACUAGUCUAUCACAAAUUACCACAAGCAGCAUAGAAAUCCUCAAUCACGAAGCUCGCGAACUCGUCGGAUUCCCUAGUGGAAAACCUCAACUCUGAGAUUACCAAAGCAUCAUCGGAAUCCCGAUGCACAAGAUAUCUCGUCAAAGGUAAAACUAAUCCAGCAAGGCCGCCCGGCGUGUCGACGAUCCUGAUAGGAGUCGCGUAUCUCGUUCUCAGGACACAACGGAUAAGCGAAGCGUACGGGUACCAAACCUCGAGUUUCCUUGCGGUGGCCCCGCAUGGUGCUCUGUUUUGGACCAACACUCAUGAGGAGCACUGGCCCGGGGGUUGAUUAAAUUAUCCUCGGGGUCCGGAAAGUCCCUAUGCAAGUUUAUUAGGUGAUUAGGCAAAUGUAGUACCAAUGUUGGGCCUUGCCAGACCUGCUUUAAUCUAAAACGAAUUAUCAAGGGGGUCCCCAUAACAACCCCGAUCGUGUUAGGAGUGCUCAUUUAUGGAACAUAACACCGGUAGACGGAAACUAAGGGGGCAAAGGUGGAACAAAACACCAGGCUAGAAAUGCCGAGACUUCUACCUUUUACCAAGUAUAUAGGUGCAUUAAAUUAAAUAGCAUUUAAUAUGGUGAUAUAACAAGGAACCCACGUUUUCACAUGGAAGCAACUGCACCUGCAACUAGCAACGCUAACACAGGGUUAAGCAAGCAGUAACAUAGCCAAUCAGUGGUUUGCUAGGUUGAACAGGUUGAAGGUUUUCAUGGCAUUGUUGAGAGGCUGAUAUUUAACAUGUGGUAGGCAACGAGACAUAAUCGAUAGAAGCGAUAAAACUAGCAUGGCAAUGAUAGUAAUGGUAUCUGGGGAAAUGGUCAUCUUGCCUGAAAUCCCGCUUGAAAGAAGAAUGCCUCCGUGAAGCAGACGAACCGACGUAGUCGAACGGGUCCUCACAUCCGACACGCUUGCGGAACUCUAUCGAGACGAAGCAAACCGGAAACACAAAUCAACACACGAUAUGCACCACACGAUGCACAACACAUAUGAUGCAUGAGCAGCUGAAUACAUGCAAGACACGGCAUGACAAUUCACACAAUCAAACACUACACAUUAAGUGAAGUUCAAUAUGCAACGAGUUGCAUAUUGACAAAACUCCACGUUAAUUUAUUUAGUUCUGUCCCGAUUAGAUACACGGCAAUAUUAAAUGUGGUUAACCAAGUCAAGAGGUGAACCGCAAUUAAUCUACCUGUCUAGGCAUUUUAAAUGAGGUCGGAAAUGACAUAUAGCACCUCCGAAGCGACCUCACACGUUAAUUUACAAUUCUGUCCAGAUUGAACUAACACAUUAAUUACUUGUUAAACAGAAAAACAAAUAGGUUCACGUGAUUCUACGCGUCGUUACAAGCAAUUUACACAUAGAGAACAUCUCCAACGGAGCUACGGUUCAAAAGAUACAAGCACCUCAAGAUAUGAUGGCAUGAAUGCAAUAUGUGUGCAACGACGGUCACGAGCACUUCAAAACAAACAACCAGGAAGAUAAAAUGAUACUACAGGAGAUUCUAAGCGAGUUUCAUAUAGGACACGAUCAAAUCGGAGCUACGGUUCAACAACUACGAGCAAAACAAGAAAUGACUACAAUCUGCCAAAAUCAGCCACAUAGCAUUUUCUACACCCCACAACUAUGAGCUAUAAAACUCCGAUAUACUCAACCAAGACACGGCACGAAAGAGGGCAAGGAUCACUACAACAAACAACUAACAACAACUAGCAUGGCAUCAUGGAUCACUAGGAAAAGAAGUCUCAAAAUGGCUUCUCACACACUAUUUCAGACUUAGUGAAAAUAACACCUCAUGAAAGUGCAGUUUUCGAUCUGAAGCCAUAUUGACAGCAGCAAAAUCAUAAUCUACAGGACUCCAAAUGACAUGAAAAUUCACAACAUGCUAGAGAAUCACAAGGGCUACAACUAACUCCAUCGGACCAACCUCAAAAGAGCUACAGAUCAAAAGAUACAAGCAAGACAAGACAACAACAAAAUAUAACAAAUUUCAGACUUAGAAAUAUUUCAGCACCUCCAAAUCAGCACUAUUCCUAGCAACUUGAGAGCAAGCAAAAACACACCUAAACAUGCAUUUCUAUUGCAACCAAAAAUACCAGGGGCUAGAGUAAACAUCGAAGGGCAACUCCCUAGUUGACACCUCCUUCAAACGAAGCACGAAAUAAAUCCUACGAAAAAGACAAGAGGGCAACAUAGCAAAAUAUCACGCGAACUAACUUGCUCAAAAGCUAAAACUAAUUUCUACCCCGAAAACAUAUAAAACAAGUGGGGUUGCAACACAAAAAUAUUGCCACACGUAAAUGCGAGAUAAUAACCUAUACACGGCAAAAUAAACUAGCGGCAAUCCCUACACGCAAAAUUAUCAACGUCUACUCUAAAAAUAUAUGGAAAAGUGGUUCCUAAAACAUGGACAUUUUACCUAAGGCAUCCGUGGUUCCUAAAACAUGGACAUUUUACCUAAGGCAUUCGAGUAAUUCAAACACGCGCGGAAAAUAAACUACGGAAAGGAUCCUAUUGGACAGCAUGUAAAUUUAUGCAUAUGGCAUCUCAAACUACGUCAAACAAUUAUGCAUGUUGCAAAAACGGAUUCUAAGCAAAAUUCUAGUCAAGUUUCAUAUAUAAUUUGUAUCGAUUCGGUGCACGGUCUAAAAGGUACGGGUGUUUGAAAAUCGAUGCUUUCUCUGAAAUCCUAGUGCAACAAAAAAAAAUAACAAGGGAAACGAAUAAAGGGGCAAAGCUGGGAUUCGAUCCGAGGAUCCCUUGGAUCGAUGCAGCGCACACAACCACUGGGCUACGGUGCUCUUGUUAAAAAACUAGAGUGGUGACCUUCCUUAUGUUGUUUGAACCAGAACGGAUCUAGGAAACACGAUAAGGAUUCAGUUACACAGCUUGCAAGGGAACAGAGACCUGCGGCCAUGGCAAGGGAGCAGCGACCACUUGCCAGCCCGACGCCGAGGAUGAGGUCUGCGCAUGUUGGGAUGGCCGGAUCCAGGGCAAGGGACUCCAUUCCCAGUGGAUCUGGCGUGUUCCGGAGGAGCUUGCCUCCAUGGUGCUGCGGACCUGCACGGAAGAGAGGGGAGAGAGGUGAACGAGGGGAGAGAGAGUCAGAGGGAAAGCAGGGGGAGCAAGAUGAUGAGGA
rnacentral:lncRNA from 1 species